CCCACCUAACGUAGCUAUAUUUGAUUAUUUCAAAUGCAUUAAUUUAAAAGCUCUCAAAUGGAUGUGAUACUCAAAUUCCCCUCUUCCAGAAGAUUGGAGAGUUCAACUGAGUUCUAGGAAGAACACCAGUCUGGAUGGUAUUCUGGGCUAGUCCAGACCUUCAAGAUGGCAUGGCACGCCCUUCUACCAGGGAACAGACAACCAGAAAAAUGAAUUGGCAAUACCCACGCUCUAUGUAGGACACAUACACAAGACCCACCCUUCACCUCUCUACCCUUCCCUCCCUUCCUUCAUUCAACACAUAGGUAUUCAGGGCCCACUGUAUGCCUCACACUGACCAUUUCUUGUCUUCUCUUGUCUUGGCUGGCUCCUGACCCUGGAUUUCAUCUCUCACUGGUGUUCUCACGUCCUUCGUUUGAACUUGGCGAUUGGUUCUUGGUCAUCUGGUGUGGAUACUGCCCUCUCCUUCGUGAGGACUUGAUUUGGGCUUCCUACUUCAGAGCACGCCAAGUAGACUCCCCCUUCUUAGUUUGGGGUAUUGGGACCCCUAUUCUGACUCUUCCAGAUCGGCCGUUUUCCAUCUGGGUGAGCUCCAGCCCCUUAUAAGAGGAGCUUAGGCUGUGUUGGUGGCAGGGAGACCUCUGAACGCUGGGGUUGGGCAGCAACGUCAGCACAGAAGGCUUCGGACUAGACUCUGAGGUUUGCUUGGUGCCUGGAAGCUGAUCUAGGAGAGAGGAGUUAGGUUGUCACUGCCCCUCUGUCCACAGAAUUCCUUGGAUAAUGAGGCAAAACAACCUCAGAGCAUUCAGCAACUUACAAUUAAUUUAGUUUUCCCAUCCCUCCCACUGGUUACUCACCUGUGCUGGGCCUGACACAAAUGUCACCCCCUCUCCUAUCUUCACAGCCCCCUGCCCUCUCCCCUAGCUUCCUUUCCACAGUCCUCUGUUCACACCUGCCCUUUCUCACUCCUCCGUACUCAUGCCAGAACCCACAUCACAUUGUCUGCUAUGAGCUGCCAAUUUAUCCCAAAGGGCUAUGAGCUUCUUGAGGACAGGUGUUCUUUUUAUGUCAUUAUAGCCCACAGAAGG
rnacentral:lncRNA from 1 species